CGCCGGGCGCAGCAAGGGCCAGACUCUGCGCUAGCAGGCGCUGCGCGCCAACCGGCCGGCACCUGUCGCAGAAGGUGCAACCGAUCGCACUGUCGCGCAGAAGCUCCUCAAUGGCCAGCGCCAGCUGCAGCCCCGGCCGCCCACUCGCCUCAUCUGAGCCUGGGCAAAUCUGGAUUGGGAAAGUUGACAUUAAUCAACUCAUUAUUCCUCACAGAUUUGUAUUCUCCAGAGUAUCCAGGUCCUUCUCAGAGAAUUAAAAAGCCUGUACAGCGCUGCUCUAAGCUGUUGAUGAAAAAUAUUGUUGGUGAGCUCUGCUUAGGUAAUAUAUAGGACAUGAGCAGAGAGGAGGCACGUGAACAGUUCUGGCCUGGAGUAGGCUUCAUUGAGGCUGUGAUGCUUUUAGCUGGAUUUGAAGAAGUGGUAGUGAUCAUCCCAGUGCACAGGAUAGGUGGACAGUCUAUGUAUUCUGAGCAGUAACUCAUAUAUCUCAUACUGCAAGACCCCAAAGGAGUAAUUUUGUGAACUCUGUUCACGGAAAGGGCCUGGGAGCUGCAACACCUCAACAGCAACAAGCACACCUGCUACCUAGAACUUGGUUUCUAAAAACCAUCCUCCUCUAAAAGGAAACAGAGCUCUUUGAAGAAACGCAGAAGGUAAGCAUGAGCAAAUUACUUUUUAGAGGUAACUUUGCUGAACUUGUGAAGAAUGGUGUGCAAGGUCCAGAGCGACUGCAGGAGAGGGAAGGUGGGAUUCCCACAGAGCAGGAGCACAGAUAAGCCAAGCAAGGCCCUGCUUGGAAGGCAGCAAUCAACAGAGAUGCACAGACCUGUGAGGGUGCCGGGACAGCCAUGCAACAAUGCAGCCCUUUUGCUUCCUGAGCUCACCAGUUCCCUCGCUCCACCUCUGAGAGGUGGUUUGGAGAAACACAGCCCUUCUCAAGAGGGCUGCAAGCUACUUAAGUCCUGAAAAUUUCCACAAGGCUGAGUCAAAUCUGCGUUUCAUCAUCUAUAAGAAAGGUACCUAUCGAGAACACCCUGCUGGCCAGUGUGUAAAUAUCUAAAGGAGGACUCAGAAAACACCGGGGAAGUCCAGCCUGCACGUGGUGGCUGGGCUUCAGUGAAGCAUGCAGCACAACAGGAGUUGUAAGUAGUAGUUACAUCAGCAGCCCUGGAAAUUCUGCUCAGAACCAAACUGAACAAAUAACAUUAUCUAAGGCUUACAAUUAUUUAACUCCCUAAAUUUUCUGUCCUCCCAGUAGCACUUUCAAAUGCCUAAAAGCAAUUAAAAGAAACAUUUUUCCAAU
rnacentral:lncRNA from 1 species